rnacentral:rRNA from 1 species
UGCGAGCGUUGUCCGGAAUCACUGGGCGUAAAGGGCGCGUAGGUGGCCCGACCAGUCACUGGUGAAAGCUCGACGCCCAACGUCGAGUCGGCCAGUGAUACUGUUGGGCUGGAGCACUGUAGAGGCAGAUGGAAUUCCGGGUGUAGCGGUGGAAUGCGUAGAGAUCCGGAAGAACACCGGUGGCGAAGGCGGUCUGCUGGGCAGUAGCUGACACUGAGGCGCGACAGCGUGGGGAGCAAACAGG